rnacentral:rRNA from 1 species
GGUCAAGUUAUUAAGGGUGCAGGGCGGAUGCCUUGGCACUAGGAGCCGAUGAAGGACGUGAUAAGCUGCGAUAAGCUUCGGGGAGUUGCACGUAAACUUUGAUCCGAAGAUUUCCGAAUGAGGAAACUCACUUAGAGUAAUGUCUAAGUAUCAUUAAGUGAAUACAUAGCUUAAUGAGGGGAACUCAGGGAACUGAAACAUCUAAGUACCUGAAGGAAGAGAAAGAAAUUCGAUUCCGUAA